CGGACGGGUGAGUAACGCGUGGGUAACCUGCCUCAUACAGGGGGAUAACAGUUGGAAACGGCUGCUAAUACCGCAUAAGCGCACAGUACCGCAUGGUACGGUGUGAAAAACUCCGGUGGUAUGAGAUGGACCCGCGUCUGAUUAGGUAGUUGGUGGGGUAACGGCCUACCAAGCCGACGAUCAGUAGCCGACCUGAGAGGGUGACCGGCCACAUUGGGACUGAGACACGGCCCAA
rnacentral:rRNA from 1 species